UACGUAGGUGGCGAGCGUUGUCCGGAUUUACUGGGCGUAAAGGGCGUGCAGGCGGUUUGUUAAGUGCAGGGUGAAAGCUCCCGGCUCAACUGGGAGAGGUCCUUGCAUACUGGCGAACUCGAGGGAGGCAGAGGAAAGUGGAAUUACCGGUGUAGUGGUGAUAUGCGUAGAUAUCGGGAGGAACACCUGUGGCGAAGGCGGCUUUCUGGGCCUUACCUGACGCUGAGACGCGAAAGCGUGGGGAGCGAACCGG
rnacentral:rRNA from 1 species